UUUUGUUGGGGUUUUUGAUUUUUAUGUGUUUAAUUUUAAUGGGUAUCUUUUAGUUUUGUUGAUUGUGAGUUACUUUGAGAUUGAGAUUUUGGGCUAGGGUUUGUUGAAUUGGGUAUUGUUAGGUUGGUUUGUGUUAGGGUUUUUGUAGUUGCAGGCACAACUAAUUUUGCAUUUUUAUCAUUGUUUUCUUAUGGUAGACUGACUGACCAUCAUUGUUGGGACAAAAGUCUAUGUUAUUGUUCUCAUCGUUUAUGGCAAAGAGUUAAAGAAGUUUCAUAUUAUUUCCUAUUCCUUGCUGGGGCUUUGAAGGCUUUGGUUCAGGUAUUCCACUUGAAACAGGUCUGUAUCCGCCACGACACCGCCGCCAACACCCACCGUCGGCCGAGAAAAUUCCCUCUGGUUCGUAUCCGGUUGUUUCCCUCAGCUCCAAUUAAGACUGGCCACUUCUAGAGGCAGAGAAGUUAGCAAAGCUUUCUGUAAAAUGAUGCAGGCUAAGAUGCAGAGACAGGCCAGAUUUAGACUCGGAAGUUCUCCCUGAACUGGAGGAGCUUUGCAAAGUGGCUAAUGUUUGUUUCAAGUUGAGACAAUGCAAUGUUUAUGCACCGAGCCAUUAUCUAUGCCCAAUAUUGCAGGAAAUUAUGGAAAAUCCCCAUAUUGCUGCUGAUGGAUAUACUUACGAGUAUAGAGCAAUUAAAGCAUGGCUUGGAAAACACAAGAUAUCUCCCGUUACGAAGCUCAGGCUUUCGCAUACCUGCAUAAUCCCAAACCACUCUUUGCUAUCAGCUAUACAAGAAUGGAAGUCAUCCUCUGGCUUACAACAUCCUGAGAAAUGAGAUUGCUCGAUACAUGAUCAUACUCCUGUAACAUUUCAACUUCCUCCGAAGUUACAGAGAGCUUGAUUAAUUUAUGAUGCAAAUCUAUCAUAAAUAACGGUAGCUUGGUCUUUGCAUACUACAAGGAAGGCGCCAGUGAUCCUACCCUUUUGUACUUCGCCCACGGGCUGAAGGUGUUCAAAUGCUAGAGCCUGUUCUUUUCAGAACUCCAAAAGAAGGAGCUUUGUACUCUAAUGAUAUGUUACCUAAAUUAUCUGUUGCCGCUGGACUUGGGUCUUUUAGUGCUUUAAUUGUGGUACUUAAUAAACUUAUGUGGGUUUGAGUAAUGUUUUUGUCACAACUUUUUUAAGUUAUAUUUCA